UGGCGAAACGAAACUUGUGAAUCGUGCAUUUGCUCUUCAUGGUAGCUGCCAGAAAAUCGAAUCAAACUUACGGGACAUUGGAUUACCGGUUGCUGCCACUACUCCAUGUGCCCGCAAUUGUCUUGCGUGUAUGAUUACACUUAUGUCGUCGCCCACCACGGCGGAAGUAUUUUGCGUACACGCGUUUCAGCAUGAAGCCUGCAGGUGGACGUAAAUUGUAGAAGGCAGCUAGUGGGGGAGAAGAUCAUGGUCAUAGGUCAUGUGACUCCUGGAGCUCCCAGUGGGCUCCCUUGUGGAGUACUUUUCAGAACACACACACACACACACAGUUUGCUCACAGAACCAACGAGUAGGAUGUUGCUUGAAUACUGAGAGAAAAUGGCGUAACACAUACAAAUAUCGUGUGACACAUAUGACAAUAAAAACAUUUUUCACGAGGGAUGCAUGAAACACUGUCGCAAUAUUGUGUGCAUGAACCAUUGUGUGUGACACAAGCCGUGGGGGCACACCGCCUCGGACACAUUUUGGGAAGCAUAAAACACAGUAUAUACAGAGCUACUAUGGUGGAUGCUUCUUUUUUCUUUUUGGCCGUUAUGAGACAUCUUCGGCCGUAAUGAGACUACCUUCGGCCGUAUUGAGACUUUGGCCGUAACGAGACACUUGGGGAUUAAAGGAUUUUCGGCCGUAAUGAGACUUUCGGCC